rnacentral:rRNA from 1 species
UCAUGGAAUAAAUAAUAGUCGAAAAAUACGAACAACAGUUUAAAACUUAAAGAUUUUGGCGGUGUCUUAUCGAACCAGGGGAACCUGUCUCAUAACUCGAUAAUCCACGAUCACCCUACCUUCUUUAGAUCAACUCAGCUUGUGUACUGCCGUCGUAAGCACACCUCUAAAAGCAACAGUAAGUAUGCAAUUAUGAUAACACUCAUUUACGUCAGGUCAAAGUGCAGCUUAUGAGAAGGUGAUGAUGGGUUACAACCUAAAUAUAGAUACGAAAUAUGCCACUAAAAGUCAUAUAAAGGUGGACUUGGACGUAAUAAUAAUACCAAAUCACAAUGAAGACGAAUCUAAGACAUGUACACAUCGCCCGUCACUCUCGCCUAAAGGCG